rnacentral:rRNA from 1 species
GACGAACGCUGGCGGCGUGCUUAACACAUGCAAGUCGAACGGAGUUAAGGAGCUUGCUCCUUAACUUAGUGGCGAACGGGUGAGUAACACGUGAGGAACCUGCCUUUCAGUGGGGGACAACAGUUGGAAACGACUGCUAAUACCGCAUGAUACUAUUGAGUGGCAUCACUUGAUAGUCAAAGAUUUAUUGCUGAAAGAUGGCCUCGCGUCUGAUUAGCUAGUUGGUGGGGUAACGGCCCAACAAGGCGACGAUCAGUAGCCGGACUGAGAGGUUGACCGGCCACAUUGGGACUGAGAUACGGCCCAGACUCCUACGGGAGGCAGCAGUGGGGAAUAUUGGGCAAUGGGCGAAAGCCUGACCCAGCAACGCCGCGUGAAGGAAGAAGGCCUUCGGGUUGUAAACUUCUUUUACCAGGGACGAACACAAUGACGGUACCUGGAGAAAAAGCAACGGCUAACUACGUGCCAGCCGCCGCCGUAACAC